AAUGCCAAAGCUUGCUUCACUGGAGGAGGAAGCCAAGAGUGAUGUUCCUUCCAAAUAGUAGAGCUGCUUGAGGACAAGAAAGAAACCAGUCUGGAUGCAGUGAGGUGGAUCAAUUUGCAAGUUCAGGCUUGUGCCAAUCUGACACUACCCUGAAUACAUUUCAACUAUGUCAGUUUAAGCUCCUACAACAAGCAACAGAGAGGCCAUGGUGGUAGCUUCACUAUUGUUUGAUCCAAGCUCUACAGGGAACCAGCAAACAAAUGCCUGCUCCAGGACAAGACAGGAAAUAUCUAAGCUCUGUAUGCUUACAGAGAGGCCAUGGUGGUAGCUUCACUAUUCAUGCUAUGAAUACAAACACAAAAAAUAGGAUUUCUGCAAGUUGCCUUACAGCCACCAUCUUCUGGGAUCCAGCAAGAAGAACGAAAGCAAUGAUCCUUCCUCAAUAAUUUGAACAGAAGAAAACAAAACAAAGUCAACUGUUGGCAAUCAAUCCACUCUCAGUCUGAUGUACUUGCACUCUAUUCCAGAAUUUAUUGAAGAGUGGGUGAGUCCAAAAGUGAUGCAAUCUAUGUAUGUUCAGACUAAAAUCUCUUCAGCACACAGGUGGCCAUAAGCUCAGACCCAAUUGUUAAGUCCAGAACUAAUCAUAGACCCUCUGAAAUUGAGGAGUCCUCAUUAACACAUUUGUCUC